AAAGCCCGGGGCCUAAACCCCUGGGUGUGCAGUGGGUACGGGCAGACUUGAGUGCAGUAGGGGAGACUGGAAAUUCCUGGUGUAGCGGUGAAAUGCGCAGAUAUCAGGAGGAACACCGAUGGCGAAGGCAGGUCUCUGGGCUGUUACUGACGCUGAGGAGCGAAAAGCAUGGGGAGCGAAACAGGAUUAGAUACCCUGGUAGUCCAUGCCGUAAACGUUGGGCACUAGGUGUGGGGAACAUUCCACGUUUUCCGCGCCGUAGCUAACGCAUUAAGUGCCCCGCCUGGGGAGUACGGCCGCAAGGCUAAAACUCAAAGGAAUUGACGGGGGCCCGCACAAGCGGCGGAGCAUGCGGAUUAAUUCGAUGCAACGCGAAGAACCUUACCAAGGCUUGACAUACACCGGACCGGGCCAGAGAUGGUCUUUCCCCCUUGUGGGGCUGGUGUACAGGUGGUGCAUGGUUGUCGUCAGCUCGUGUCGUGAGAUGUUGGGUUAAGUCCCGCAACGAGCGCAACCCUCGUUCUAUGUUGCCACGCACGUGAUGGUGGGGACUCAUAGGAGACUGCCGGGGUCAACUCGGAGGAAGGUGGGGAUGACGUCAAAUCAUCAUGCCCCUUAUGUCUUGGGCUUCACGCAUGCUACAAUGGCCAGUACAAUGGGUUGCGAUGCCGCGAGGUGGAGCUAAUCCCAAAAAGCUGGUCUCAGUUCGGAUCGUGGUCU
rnacentral:rRNA from 1 species